rnacentral:rRNA from 1 species
GAUGAACGCUGGCGGCGUGCCUAAUACAUGCAAGUCGAGCGAACAGACGAGGAGCUUGCUCCUCUGACGUUAGCGGCGGACGGGUGAGUAACACGUGGAUAACCUACCUAUAAGACUGGGAUAACUUCGGGAAACCGGAGCUAAUACCGGAUAAUAUAUUGAACCGCAUGGUUCAAUAGUGAAAGACGGUUUUGCUGUCACUUAUAGAUGGAUCCGCGCCGCAUUAGCUAGUUGGUAAGGUAACGGCUUACCAAGGCAACGAUGCGUAGCCGACCUGAGAGGGGGAUCGGCCACACUGGAACUGAGACACGGUCCAGACUCCUACGGGAGGCAGCUGUAGGGAAUCUUCCGCAAUGGGCGAAAGCCUGACGGAGCAACGCCGCGUGAGUGAUGAAGGUCUUCGGAUCGUAAAACUCUGUUAUUAGGGAAGAACAAAUGUGUAAGUAACUAUGCACGUCUUGACGGUACCUAAUCAGAAAGCCACGGCUAACUACGUG